rnacentral:lncRNA from 1 species
GCUAUGCAUGGAAUUCUAUUACAAUAACACUAUUUUUAUUGAGUCAUAUGUUAUUUACCUCUGCUUCCAUAGCACGGAGUUCAUUGUGCCACUUUAAUCCAUCUUCAAUCCAUCAUUCUAAUAAUGGUCUUCCCUGGUGAAUAGGUGGAUAGACAGCAAAGACUCAUGUAAAAGUGAAGGUCUAAGAAGAUAUUCCAUACUAAUAUUGAUUUAUCAAUGAAAGAGAGAAUGUGGAAAAGCCAAACUAGCCUUUGAAUGAAAUUAUAAAGAUAAAAGGAAAUUAAUGUUUGUUUAUUUUUUCUUAUAAAUUGCACAAAGGAGUGUGCAAUACCUACUGAAUGCUCUUGUAAGACAAAAAAGCCAUUUAAGCUUUGUGAAAAAUUUUAAUUGUUCCCC